rnacentral:lncRNA from 1 species
AACGCAUGUUCAGGUACUUUGCAUCCUGACGGUACUUCUUGGACAAACUGGACAAGUUGUUGGCCUUGGAAUCCAGAGCUGAAAGUGCCUCUCCUCGCUGUAAGACUUCCUCAAUGUUGGCCACCAUAAUCCUCUGCACAUCCUGCAGCUCUGUGUUGAUGGAACCCAGGUUCCUCCUCGCCCGGCUGUCGAUGUAGAGCUUCUUGGUUUUCUGGAUGUAGGUGUCGAAUUCAAUGAAGGAAUAGGGCCUGGAAACCGUCGGCACCUUCUUGCCAUGCUGCUCAUCAAAUUCUGAUUGCAAGUCUUCCAGAUAUGCAAAGGCCAGUUUCUUCGGGAACGCAGCUUCGCACAGGACCAGGUAACACACCCCUUUCUCAAUGAUGUAGUGGAAAGCCAUGGCUCCUGCCUCCAGAGUGCACCUCGUAGGGGACUGCUCGUUCAGCUUGCGGAACAGCUGCUUCGCCUGGCUCUGGUACUGCUGGAGGUCGCGGCCGGACUGCUCAUCCUCCUGCAUGGAGGCAGCGAGCGGCAGUCCGUCCGCCACGCGGGCGAUCAUGGUAAGCAGCACCAUCUUCGCCUCCGCUCACUGCCCCACGGCCACCUCCUCCUCCUUCCUUAAGCACUACUGAGC